rnacentral:rRNA from 1 species
UACGUAGGGACCAAGCGUUGUUCGGAUUUACUGGGCGUAAAGGGCUCGUAGGCGGCCAACUAAGUCAGACGUGAAAUCCCUCGGCUUAACCGGGGAACUGCGUCUGAUACUGGAUGGCUUGAGUUUGGGAGAGGGAUGCGGAAUUCCAGGUGUAGCGGUGAAAUGCGUAGAUAUCUGGAGGAACACCGGUGGCGAAGGCGGCAUCCUGGACCGGUAUUGACGCUGAGGCGCGAAAGCCAGGGGAGCAAACGGG